rnacentral:lncRNA from 1 species
CUAUCCUUCCAGAAGCAUCUGCUCGAUGCAGAACCAUCUUAAUCGGCUGGUCGAUGAGUAGUGUUAUGGUGUGCCCUUGAAAGUAAGGUCGGAGCCUUUGGACUGCAAUCAACAGGGUGUAAGUUAGUUUCUCUAAUUUAGCAUACCUAGUUUUGGCAUCUCUCAAUACUCGACUUAUGUAGUAGAUCGACCGUUGAAUCUUUGCUUCU